CAAACGCUCAGCCAAUUGUUUACAUAACAACAGACGCAGCGCAGCACGCGACUGAAGAAAGAAGAGACAACCAAUUUACUAGAUACAGUGUCAGCACGCCCUCUGGAAAGUAAGCUUGCCAGUUACAUCAGCGCUUCCCCUAAAUGAUAAUUAAGAGGGAACGUUAGGUGAGAAGCCUGACCGGGGUGAGAAGGUGAAGAAGCGUACUUCAUGAGCUUUAACCAAAAAAAUACUGGUAUUUGGAAAGUUUGAGUAUGUGGUUAAUUUUCAGAAUGUGGAUUCGGGAAUCAAGUGUAGCUGGAGCUGGGCCUGUCUUAAGCUAGAUGCCACUAUAGAGCAAUGGAAGUGGCAUCUUCCGUGGACCUGUUGGAGCAGUAGGCAAAUUGGAGUGGGUCCGGUGUGCCUGGCAUGCAGGCCUUGAAGUGGGCCAUGACCAGCCUCUCAAAGCACUUCAUGAUGACAAAGGUGAGUGCAACGGCAUGUCACCUUGUGUUUCUUGGGCACUGGGAUGA